rnacentral:pre_miRNA from 1 species
CACGAGCAGCUGAAUGUUUAGUGAUUGUAUCAUAUCAGGUUGUUCAAAACACUGAUAUGAUACAAUCACUAAUCAUUCAGCUGCUCGUC